rnacentral:rRNA from 1 species
UACAGAGAGUGCAAACGUUGUUCGGAAUUACUGGGCUUAAAGCGCACGUAGGCGGCGCCGCAAGUGUGGGGUGAAAGCCCACGGCUUACCCGUGGAAUUGCCUGGCAGACUGCGGUGCUAGAGGAUGGUAGGGGAGAGCGGAACUCCUGGUGGAGCGGUGAAAUGCGUAGAUAUCAGGAGGAACACCGGUGGCGAAGGCGGCUCUCUGGUCCAUUACUGACGCUGAGGUGCGAAAGCUAGGGGAGCAAACGGG